rnacentral:tRNA from 1 species
GUCAGGAUGGCCGAGCGGUCCAAGGCGCGCUGUGUCCAGUCGCAGUCUCCACUGGAGGCGGGGUUCGAAUCCCACUUCUGACA